CUCUUUUCGUUUGGCUUUAAAACAGUAGCCUAAUAAGGUCUCAGGGUGCAGCGUGUCUCGCCCGCCCACCUGUAAACCUCACAAGCGUACUAUUUCACUAAUUUACUUCUUAUGUAUUACUCUGUCUAUCACUGAAUUCUUUUCUACGCUGAGACAGAAAGGACUGUGGUACCGGAGCUCUUCAGCGCGCUCCUGAAAUGACCCGGAGGCCCCCUAAAAUGACACCAAAUGGUUUCACUGGGUCUUUGUCGCUGCACUGGGGCUUUCCCUAGUGUGAUCAACGCUUAAUUUUUUCAUCGACACGUGAAUGGCACAGUCAGCAGGAUAUCAGUGAUUCCCAGAGGACACCUGGGGUCUGCCCUGAACCAGCGCUUGGAACCAACACAGACCCCGUUGCGUCCCACCAGCUUCUCAGUGCUCCUCGGGUGUUCCAGGGAUUUCUCCUGAUAUCUAGAUUUCAUUGUUUUCAAGUGAUGGUCCUAAAUGUUUAUUCGAGCUGUGUUUACUUGAGACUUGGAGUCUUAAAGGGCACCAGUCAUCUCCUACAGACGUGUGGGGAUACGGGCAGGAGCCCCAAGGAAACAUGAGUGGCUGGGUCUUUGCUAAAUUUGGUUUAAAUGGAAAAAUAAAACAAGCUGCUAUAUGGUCUGAACAAAACUUCUGCUAGUGAAAUGUGAGACUGAUUCAACUCCAAAAAAACAAGGGACACUUGCUCCUUCUGGCC
rnacentral:lncRNA from 1 species